GACGAACGCUGGCGGCGUGCCUAAUACAUGCAAGUAGAACGCUGAAGGAGGAGCUUGCUUCUCUGGAUGAGUUGCGAACGGGUGAGUAACGCGUAGGUAACCUGCCUGGUAGCGGGGGAUAACUAUUGGAAACGAUAGCUAAUACCGCAUAAGAGUAGAUGUUGCAUGACAUUUGCUUAAAAGGUGCAAUUGCAUCACUACCAUAUGGACCUGCGUUGUAUUAGCUAGUUGGUGGGGUAACGGCUCACCAAGGCGACGAUACAUAGCCGACCUGAGAGGGUGAUCGGCCACACUGGGACUGAGACACGGCCCAGACUCCUACGGGAGGCAGCAGUAGGGAAUCUUCGGCAAUGGACGGAAGUCUGACCGAGCAACGCCGCGUGAGUGAAGAAGGUUUUCGGAUCGUAAAGCUCUGUUGUAAGAGAAGAACGAGUGUGAGAGUGGAAAGUUCACACUGUGACGGGAUCUUACCAGAAAGGGACGGCUAACUACGU
rnacentral:rRNA from 1 species